rnacentral:tRNA from 1 species
UCCUGGUUAGCUCAGUUGGUAGGGCGCUCUCGUGGAAAUGGAAAGGUCUCUGCUUCGAUACCAGAACCAGGCG